UGCCCAUUGGCCUAGUCGUCAAGGCGUCUGACUGUUAACGUGGCCCAUCGCGGAAGCAGACAAAUCAGAAGAUCCCUGGUUCGAUUCCAGGGUGGGCAG